rnacentral:rRNA from 1 species
GAUGAACGCUAGCUACAGGCUUAACACAUGCAAGUCGAGGGGAAACGAUAUUGGAAGCUUGCUUCCGAUAGGCGUCGACCGGCGCACGGGUGAGUAACGCGUAUCCAACCUGCCCACCACUUGGGGAUAACCUUGCGAAAGUAAGACUAAUACCCAAUGAUAUCCCACGAAGGCAUCCGAAUGGGAUUAAAGAUUUAUCGGUGAUGGAUGGGGAUGCGUCUGAUUAGUUUGUUGGCGGGGUAACGGCCCACCAAGGCGACGAUCAGUAGGGGUUCUGAGAGGAAGGUCCCCCACAUUGGAACUGAGACACGGUCCAAACUCCUACGGGAGGCAGCAGUGAGGAAUAUUGGUCAAUGGGCGAGAGCCUGAACCAGCCAAGUAGCGUGCAGGAAGACGGCCCUAUGGGUUGUAAACUGCUUUUAUAGGGGAAUAAAGUGAGCCACGUGUGGUUUUUUGCAUGUACCCUAUGAAUAAGGACCGGCUAAUUCCGUG